rnacentral:rRNA from 1 species
GCCUGCAUGAAGUUGGAAUCGCUAGUAAUCGCGGAUCAGCAUGCCGCGGUGAGUACGUUCCCGGGCCUUGUACACACCGCCCGUCAAACCAUGAGAGUUGGCAACACCCGAAGUCGGUAGUCUAACCGCAAGGAGGACGCCGCCGAAGGUGGGUUGAUGAUUAGGGUUAAGUCGUAACAAGGUACC